rnacentral:rRNA from 1 species
GACGAACGCUGGCGGCGUGCCUAAUACAUGCAAGUCGAGCGCAGGAAGUCGACGGAACCCUUCGGGGGGAAGUCGACGGAAUGAGCGGCGGACGGGUGAGUAACACAUAAAGAACCUGCCCUCAGGUCUGGGAUAACCACGAGAAAUCGGGGCUAAUACCGGAUGGGUCAUCGGACCGCAUGGUCCGAGGAUGAAAGGCGCUCCGGCGUCGCCUGGGGAUGGCUUUGCGGUGCAUUAGCUAGUUGGUGGGGUAAUGGCCCACCAAGGCGACGAUGCAUAGCCGACCUGGGAGGGUGGUCGGCCACACUGGGACUGAGAAACGGCCCAGACUCCUACGGGAGGCAGCAGUAGGGAAUCUUCCACAAUGGACGAAAGUCUGAUGGAGCAACGCCGCGCGAACGAUGAAGGCCUUCGGGUCGUAAAGUUCUGUUGUAAGGGAAGAACAAGUGCCGCAGGCAAUGGCGGCACCUUGACGGUACCUUGCGAGAAAGCCACGGCUAACUACGUGCCAGCAGCCGCCGUAACAC